GCUGCUGAAACACAUAAAAAAAAUGUUCGUGGAUUUGGAUUUUUUGUUCUUUUUAUUUAUCCUGGUGCUUACUGUGAAUUACCUGAAGAGACA
rnacentral:ribozyme from 13 species